GAGGCAGGGAGACGCCUCCGCCUGGGCGCCAGGCCUCGGGAAGCCCCGCUUUAUUCCCUUCCUUUCCCUUUCGCGGGAGGGAGAAACCUCGGCGAGCUGCGCCGCCAGCUUUGCGGCCGGGAGUUUCCUCAAGGAAGCGGCUGCUUCGGAGAGCCAGCGUGCCGCGCCCCUCGGGGGGCGUAGCCGGCCAGCCGCACCGCGACACCACCGGCUCUCCAUUUGCUGCUGCACAGCGUCUCCGCGGGGGAAUUUCGGGGUCCGGAGAUGGCGGCGCGGGGGGCGCCCCGCCGGCGGGUCUAGUUGCCCUCGCGCCCUUUGCUGUUGAGGCCGCCGCCGCCAGGAUGGUGCCGAAGAGCUUUGGAUUCAUGAUGUUCCUUUGGGUUCAGACAGCUGCUAACAUAUCAGUGACUGGCAUAAUAGGAAGUACUGUUGAACUGAGAUGUGAUGAGUUAAAUGGCACAUUCAUCUUAAAUAACUUUCGAGUAAUAUGGCAAAAAGAAGGGGAAAUAGAGUGCUUUGUAGAAACCUAUGAUUCUGAUGAAGAUCUGACUUCAUAUCGCAUGAAAAACCAGUGUCCCGACUUCACAGGGAGGACUCGGUUUAAUGAGGAACCGAAGGAGGGAAAAUUUACUCUGCAACUGUUAAAGAUCAGUCCUAAAGAUGAGUUCACAUAUAGCUGUGUGGUACUGAAGAAUGAAAAAGGAAAAUUUACAAUACACAGAGAAGUAAAAACAAACCUCAAAGUGGCAGCAAAUUACAGCACGCCAGUUCUAACUCACAUGUCAUCUGGAGAAGAGACGACCUUUAGUUGCACUUCUAGCCACGGGUACCCACAACCAAAGGUUUAUUGGGUAAAUCAUACUGACAUCAGCCUCUUGAACUCAACUCAACAUUAUACUAGAGCGCCUGACGGGACGAUCAGUGUUUUCAGUACGUUAACAGUGAAAGCAGCUACUGGUAUCAAGUUAGAGUGUACAGUUGAGAAUGAACAGCUGCACCAAAAUCUAACUGCCACCAUUGACACAACCAGUCCUGAAAAUAGCCCCUCGGUUGAUAACACCCCAAGUAAGACAAAAGGUGCAGUUCUGGGUUCUGUUGCAGCUGUCUCAGUAGUCAUUCUACUUAUUUUGUACAUCGUGUGGAAGAAAAGGAGGACUUCUGUUCCGAAGACUUACAUUGCUCCUGCUGAAAUAGGAAACUGAGAUUUUGGACUGCUGGAGUAGUGUUGCCUGGAAACAUUCCCACAGAGACUGAUGGUUGUGUGUUUUCUAUCUGCAGCAGAGCAUGGACUGGAGCGGAACACUUACACACUUCCAGCAGCUUGCCAUGUUUAACCUUCUACUGGUGAAAGGCAGAAUGCUACCUGGGCCACGACUGAUAAAGGCUAUGUUAUAAAGUUAGUCCACCCAAUGAAACCCAGAAGGGGCACACUUCUUGGGCACAGCUCAGAACUGAUUCUGUGGGGGCGUCAACAUACACCUUUGAGCUUUCCAAGGACUGCUUCACUUGUUAAUGACAUUUUGGUACUGAACAAAUUCACAGAGGAGCAUUUUGUCAAUGGCUUAAUGGAGCUUCUUUGUUCUACAGCAGCAUAUGCCACUGAAUGCCAGUUGCUGAGGAGCAAUAGGAGAGGAGGACUAGUACUUUCAUGCCUUGUUUUUCAGCUUCCUCGAAGCAAAUGAUUGGCCUCUGUUGGAAGUAGGCUGCCGGACUAGAUGGACCUGAUCCAGCAAGGGUGGUCACCUUGUGAAGUGUGGUGGCACUUCUGAGCCCGGUCUUCCAGUGCUGGUAUAGAACGGAAGACUGACAUGGAAUCAGCCCCCCAACAUUAGACCCAGAGGUUUGGUUGUAUAGGACAGACACAUGAGGACAGCUGUCUUAUUUUAAAAGAUGGGGGACAUGCCAUGGACACCACCUCCAGGGAGGUGGGCAGGUCUGUUAAUCAGUUGGGAAUAUGAUCCUCUACACCAGACAUUACUAGAGUUUAUCACUUUGGGCCCAAAUUAGGCCAGAGUUCCUAUCUCGGUUUAAUGGCUUCAUCACAAUCUGAACUUCAGCACAUGCGUCUUACGUGGGAACCAUAUUAACUGCAAGCUCUGCUACUGUUGAAGGUGAAACAAUCUUGGGCAGAAAAUGAAAAGGCCUCUGGCUAGUUAUGAUUGCUUUCCCCUGCUAGAUACUCCAGCCAAUUAACAGUCAGCCCAGUUGUGUAACAAUAGCAAAUGGAAUGUUUCGAAUGCCGGGAUGUGAAUGCAUUACCAUUUGCCAAAGGUUCUUCAAGAGCAGCUUUAGUGGACAGACAUCUCAUUUCAGUACAGCUGCAAAAUCUAAACAAACCGAAGGCUGGGCUUCAGACAUGCAAGAUUGCAAAGAUCGGAACUUGUAAAUCCUAGUUGUAAGAUUCCAUCCAACGUUUUCUAUGCAUUUGCAGGGGAAGUGUGAUGUGCAUUUACAGGUUGAACAUUGAAGGAGUACAGACAACUUCAGUACAGGGGUCUGCUCUGUCCAUGCUUCCUCGUGAACAGUGAAUGCACCAGAAGGAAUGCAGGGCUCUGGAUUUGUGCAAGUGUUCAUAUGAUUUACUGAGUUGUUGGCUUCAUGUUGCCAGUGUGCUAAGUCCGAAUUGGAAGAUAAGAUGGCAAGGUAGGCAUGCAGAGAUAGCAGCACAUAGUGAAUGGUGAUACAUGCAUUAAUCUGGGGUUUUAUUAGUAGAUUGGAUUAUUUCUCUUAACCCUUUAUGCCAUGCUUAGCCAUCUGAGUGUUUGAAAGGGGAAGUUUCAACUUGCCAUGUUGGAGCUUUCUAGAUCUCACUUAACACUUUUCAAGUAAAAUCUCAGGGUAACCAUGGAAGUCCUCAGGAUAUAUUUAUAUUAAUUGAUCUGUACAGUUAAACUUUUGGCGUGCUAAAUCAAAAUCUUUAGCUUCGUGACAUCUGUGUUAAUUGGCAUGAUAAAGUAGACAUAUUUUGGGACACAUACUUUAAACUGGUACUUUUAUCAAUUCAAUCAUCAUAGACACCAGAAAAGCAGUAUAAAUUACAGCCUUGAUCAAACCAGAAGACUUGAAUUGUUUAUUAGAGAGCCAGUGGAAUUCUAUUGAUGGUCUUGUUACAACUCAGUCCUAAAUACUUGGGAAAGUAUUCAAUUAUUUCCUAAGUAAGUAUUGUUGAAAAACCUGCCUUAAAAGCACCAUUCUGAAUUUAUACUCUGCAAUUAUUGUACAUAUGUACAUAUUGUACAAUAGAUGAGCUGAAAAUUCCUCAUGAAGCUAAUACUUUACUUAGUUAAUCUCACAGGGAUAUCAUCUAUUUGACUUUACUAAAAUAUAUUUUUUAUUUCUUUGUUUAUAAAUUGUGCAAUAUGAAUGUGAAUCUUUGCUCUGUUUCUUCCCAAACAAAUCAUGUCCUGGUUGUUGUUUUGUUCUAGUGCACUGUGAUAAAAUGGGUUUUAUUCACUGUUCAACACAUCGGUAGAAAUUUCAAGUUUUCCUUAUCUCAAUGCAGAUAAUACUCAUUUUCUAUCAUCCCACCCUUUACCUCCUAUUCCCUCACCGACAAAAGUCUGAUACUUCCACUGCUACCAGCAAAGGAAAAACAAUUUGGAAUUUUCCAGUUAUAAACACUUGUGUGCUUCGUGACGCAUUAUCUUUCAUUUCUUUAGAUGUUUCCUGAAGACUGACCUUUUAGUGCAUGAUCUACCUGAUGUAUAAGAUUGGACCUUGUCCACAGUAUUUCUGCAUGUCAUUUUAAUCUGUUUUUAUGACAUUGUUUCAGUGUUUGUAAGUUUUAUACUGUUGUACACUGUUUGGAGAUGCACCUUCAAUGUACUCUUUUUUUGCGCCUGCUAAAACAUUCUUGUUUAGACAAGCCUACUCAGAUUCUUAGAAAGUUGAGGUAACUUUAAUCUGUUUUAGUAUUUAAACUUUUGUGUGCUUUGAAGUAUGGCUGUGAAUUUUUUUGAACGUAAUUGCUUUAUCUUUUUGCAAACUGCUUUGAGGCUUUUUUUACAAUCGUGGUGUGUAAAUUUUAUUAAAUAAACAAAUAUAUAUUUUUAAAAAAUGUUUUUGAACCAAUGUAAGCUCAGUUUUACUUUGAACAAAGAGCCAGUUCCUAGAUGAUGAUUAAAUUUUAUUAUCCAUCCUCCUACAGAUGGUCUCAGGGUGGAUUGCAACAAUAUAUAGCAAUAUAAAAUGCAGCAUUAAAAGCAGACUUAAAACACUACAAUCACACCCCCAUCGUUCUGCCCGGACACUGAGGUCCAGUGCCAAGGGCCUUAUGGUGGUUCCCUCACUGCGAGAAGACAAGUUACAGGGAAUCAGGCAGAGGGCCUUCUCGGCUGUGGCACCUGCCUUGUGGAACGCCCUCCCAUCAGAUAUCAAAGAGGAAAACAACUACCAGACUUUUAGAAGACAUCUGGAGGGAGCCCUGUUUAGGGAGGCUUUUAAUGUUUAAUAGAUUAUUGUAUAUUAAUACUUCUGUUGGAAGCCGCCCAGGGUGGCUGGGAAACCCAGCCAGAUGGGCGGGGUUUAAAUAAUGAAUACAGUAAUAAUAAUUAAUAAUAAUAAUGUUCUGCAGGGUUUUGGAUUUGCAGUUCCUCUGUGUUCAAUGCCCCUACCCCCAGUUCAUUAAAAACCCAUUAAAUGUUUAAAUGAAUUGCACCUGGCAACCACCUCCAUCCAGUUGCAGCCUGUGCCAUGGGUUACAACAGUGAAAACACAAUCUUUAAAAAGCAGUUUAGAACUUAAAAUUGCAGAAAUACGGUGGGUCCUCAAAACAAUAACUAUUGACACGGACAAAUUGUAAAACAUAAAAGUCCUACUUUUGCCCCCCCAGGCAAACAAAGUGGCUAUAUCAGGAGCGGGGAAUUACCGUACUUUCCAUCUGAGGGCCACAAUUGCUUGUGGACAGCCUGGGAGUUGCAUGCCUGUGGUGGGCUGUGCUAGAGGCCAGAAUAGAUGGAGCAAAUGGGUGUGACUUAAUGCUCCAGACAGCCAGCAAGCAUGAGGUUUCUACACACAUAUACCCUGACUCUCCAUAUUUUUUCAUUCAGCAAAUGAAGGGGCCUGACCACAGCUCAAAGACACAUUCCAAGAGAGCAUGAGCAAGCCAGAUAGAGGUUGCGGCCAUGGAAGAGAGUCCCCAGAGUUUGUCAGAGGGGACUAGAGGACUCACGGACAGAAAGUUUGAUAUUCCUGAGUUACCUGCAUACCAUGGUUGUCAAGACUCUUGAACAUCAUCUUCUGAGAGAGGCUACUUGACAGUGCAUCUCAACAGGGCAGAGUAACCUAAUUUCUGAGUAAGUAAGCACCAACCUUUGGUUUUGACUUUGUAGCUAAAGAUACUGUGAGUUUGGGGCAGUGGUGAUUGCAGAAGAAUUCUGAGUAUAUUUUCCUGUGGAUGGCUUGGUACAUGAGAGGUUGUCACUGGUUUGCACAUAGCCUUUAGCCUUCAGACUCUCCAGGUACCUUCCAGAUACCAAACUUUAAUAAUUUCAGGGCACUUGCUACACACCCAAUCAUGUUAUGUUACACUGAAUGAGACCAUGCCUAUACCUGAUUUCUCAAGGGAUAUACAGUGGAACCUUGGUUCCCAAACUUAAUCCGUUACAAGCGUCUGUUCGAUUCCCAAAACAGUUCGGGAACCAAAGCUUCCUGCAGCCAAUCAGAAGCUGCGGAAGCAGUGCUGGGCGUUCAGCUUCCAAAGAACGUUCAAAAACUGGAACAAUUGCUUCUGGUUUUUGUUUGUCUGGGAGCUGGAACGUUUGUCUCCCAAGGCGUUUGGUUGCUGAGGUUCCACUGUAACUGGUUUGAGGAAAGAGAAAUUGACCCCAGCAAGUUACGUUUUUUAAAUAAGAAAAGCUGUGCAAGCUGCUCAGCAUCAGUGAGAAUCAUAUAUAAACAGAGCUGAUUGCAUUCAUAUUCUUAAUAGAACCAAAGGAAGCUAUUUGUCCAUCUAGCCCAGCAUUGCCUGUUCCGACUGGCAACAGCUGCUCUAGGGUCUCAGGUUUUCCCCAUCACCUGCUACCUGAGCCCUUUAAGAGGAGAUGCCAUGGGUGGACCUUUUCUGCCUAAGUAGCACAUUGUACUUGUAUGUAAUGGUGACUGAAAAGCCCGUUCUAACUAGGUCAUGAUGUAGCUGCUGCAACCACCAACUAUUUUCUAAGAUGCAUCACGUACAUGUAUGUAAGGUUGAUACUAAAAAACGUUUUUAAACAUGAUAUUCUACUUUGGAGAUACUGGUCUCCCUGAUUUGGACUCUGUCCUUGUGUCACAGUGGCACAAUGUGCAAGGUCUACCUGUUUACCAGCCAAUAUCUGACUUUAAAGCAUGGAAAUCCCCAGAAAAUUCCCUUAAGCCGGUUUGCCAAAAGUUCCUCCAUGCAAUGCACAUGGGAAAGUCCCAUUAUGUAAAAUUUCCUUUCCAGACAAAUUAUAUCCUAUAUGGGAACAGUGCCAAGUUACGGCACAAGCAGCUGAACUAGUGAAGAGUUUAUCCACAUAAAACCAAUAAAUUGCUGUGUCUUGAGCGCUUUCACUUGAUUGUGGAUAUUUCAGAAGUAUAGGAUCAGGUGCCUCAGUGCAGGAAAUUCCUCUAUGCCACACUGGGAUUCUACAAAUCCAUCCCUAGUCUAAUAAGUAUCAUUUUCUUAGAAUGGAGCCAUCUGCACCAACUUGUGGAUGCAAUUAUUGAGGGCAACUUCGCAUAUUAUGCGAAACAGUUUGCAUACCACAACAAUACUGUCUCCGCUCCUCCACAUGCAGCUGCUGGGUGACCUUGGGCUACUCACACUUCUUUGAAGUCUCUCAGCCCCACUCACCUCACAGGGUGGCUGUUGUGGGGGCGGAAGGGAAAGGAGAAUGUUAGCUGCUUUGAGACUCCUUCGGGUAGUGAUAAAGCGGGAUAUCAAAUCCAAACUCUUCCUCUUCUUCUUCGAUACAUGAAGGGGGUGUUGCCCACACAUAUGUUUAAUACGGGAGUGAGGGAAUACAGUAUACAAACAGAGCACAUCUAUGCAACAAUGUGUGGAACUGCUUUGACAAGUGCUUGAGCUGGAUAUUAAGAAAGGAAAGUGAGCUCACUAUUUCCUGUGACAUGUUUAACUAUUACCUAACAGACACAGCAACAAAUAUUGCUUGCUUCUUCUGUGGAGGAAAGAUGCCAAUAUGUUGAAAAAACAUAAAAUUUGGGAGUCCUUUCCCAGCCGAGCUGCUAUCUGAAAUGACGGCUGGAACAUCUCCCAAAUAGGAGGCUGGGACUUAACUUACUCAUGAGUAAGGAUAAUGACCUGCCACAUAAAAUAACAGGGUGAAAUGCUUAUUUAAUUGUGGUCAGGGCAGCAUGUUUGGAAUGGGAAUAUUCAUCUUUAAUGGAACUUUAUCACCAGCAAACUGCUGACUCCCAGGGGUUGCUGAACUUGUGGGUGGAAAUACAAGAAAGCUAAAUUAAGGCAGUAGUACCACACCAGAUACGAUUGUAUUAGAAAGUCAUUUCUGGUAUAUGGAACUAACUGGCAAACUGAGCGAGAUGUUAGUUAUGGCAGGGUAAAAACAAAAUGUACAAUAGGAGUCAUCUUCUGUUUCCACAAUAAUCAGUCCAAUUAAUCAUGAGACAAGAUAUUUGGCUGUCAAAUUAUGAUUUACAGCUAACAUACUUAACGUCAGCUAGCCCUGAUAAAAAUAAACCAUGGAUACAUUCCAGCAAAAUUUUGAGGACAUUUAUUUCCUUUAUUUUGUAUUAUAUAACUUAAACAAAUCCUUUUUAUUUUGUGGUUUCUUUAGUAGUUUUCUCACCCAAUUUCAGCACUCUUGAUUACAUGCUCUCAAUGUUCAGGUAUACGUUUUCAGAAGGCAGGAAUUUAUUUGGAAA